UCAACUCGGAGCGUCCCAAAUUUCCUGCGGAGUGUGGUUAGAGCUCUGCGGCAACGGAGCAAUUUGGCCCCUGGGGGUCCGUGUUAGUCUAGCUCCGCCGGGCCCCGGCCUCCCAGCACCUCCCCUCCCCAGAACUCCCCAGGGACCGCCCGGCCCUCUUGCCCGCAGCUCCCCGGCGGGGACCCAGAUGCGCGGGCCGCCGGUGCAGCUCCAACAUCUGCUCAGAGACUCGGGGAGGGGCGGCCGCCGGCCGGGACGAGCCCGGGGUGCGGGGCUGUUCCUGAGAAAGCUUUGAGCCGAGGCAAGGGGACUCCAGCAGGGACGUCGACAUGAAGAGAAAGGUGGACGCGAGCUCGGUCAUUCAAAGUCUCCCCACCCCGCCGCCGCCACCACCCAGCAGGGGACAAAAAGAAAAGGAGAAAGAAAGGAGAAGGAAGAAAGUAGUUGCGCCGGGCUCUCUCGGGGGCCGCGCGCGGAGCUGCUCGGUAGAGAGAGGAGCCUUCAACUCUGAGUCCCGUGAACAUAAUCUGCGCGGUUAUAACCAGCCAACCCGGCCAGAUGGCUCCGCGCUCAGCGCCUUAACCCCUUCGGCGCCGCGCCGCCCGCCCCCGCGCCCGGUCCGCCGCGCACGCCUGCGCCCCAGCGCCCCUGCGCCGGGGGUCGGGGACCAAUGAGGGGACGGGGUCAACUCCCCUAACCUUUCUUAAAGAAAAACACCCCAAACUUCCGAGUCAGUAGGAGGCUUCGGUAUACCCCUUGAUCUCCCCCUUUAGAGAUCCAGGAAGAAACGAAGUAUUUAACUUUUCACUGCGCUUUA